UAGCAUAAAGUAUUAAAGGUAUUGCCUGCCCAGUGAUUUAUUUAACGGCCGCGGGAUCCUCCACCGUGCAAAGGUAGCAUAAUCACUUGUCCCCUAAAUAGUGACUAGUAUGAAUGGCCCCAUGAAGAUUUAACUGUCUCUUAUAAUUAAUCUAUGAAAUUAAUCUUUCGGUACAAAACCCGAAAUUUUUACAUAAGACGAAAAGACCCUGUGGAACUUAAAGCACAGCCUCAUCGCUAUGAUGUUCUGCUUUUAGUUGGGGCAACUUUGGAAUAAAACAAAACUUCCAAUUCCCUAUUAGAUACACGAAUCUACUACAUCCUCCCUCCUUGACCCAGCAUACCUGAUCAAAGAACCAAGCUACCCCAGGGAUAACAGCGCCAUCCCCUCAAAGAGCCCCAAUCGACGAGCGGGGUUUACGACCUCGAUGUUGGAUCAGGGCCCCCAAACAGUGCAACAGCUGUUAACGGUUUGUUUGUUCAACAAUUAAUAGCCCUACGUGAUCUGAGUUAAGACCGGAGCAAUCCAGG
rnacentral:rRNA from 1 species